AAAUAAUAUAAGUAUAAAGAUAGAUAGAAAUACUUAUCAAGAUAAAUGGGGGUGCUCUCCCCCAAGCUGUAUUUUGACGUAAUUUCUCUUGAUGUAGCUAACAGGUGGCAGAGGUGUAUUUAAAAGUCAGCAGCAUUCUGACAGCGAUUAGAAUGUCCUCCGUCUGCUAGUCUUCUUAAUUCUUAAAUUCUGUGGAGCUCAAAUAGACAACAAAGCUUGUGGAACUGAUUAAGUGUUAGCAUAAAUAUCUAGCCUUUAUUAUCUUGAGACUCCUUAAUAAAUAUUACUCCCUGUUUUUAUAUUUUUGUUUUAUAAAGCAGAAAAAUAAUUAUUUUAUUUUUAUGCCACCACAGUGAAUGUACUUAUGGGUUUUAUGCCACUCGUCUACUCACAUGGGGCUUACUGUUUUUCACAUUUUUUUUCUUUUUAGGACAGUAUGAACUUAAUUAACUAAGUAACUAUGUUAAAUAAUUGAAAGGGAAAGGAUAACUACCAAGUUUACCUCUUGGCAAGGCGUUCGGUGUUUUUAAGUCCUCCGAACGGGACUCUCCAAUUUCUUAAUCGUCCUGAGGUUCGUUGGGUGACGUAGUCGGUACUUCCGGCAGCGCCUCCUCUUCAUGUAUAGUUAUCUUCAUUUUCCACACCUGACUUGGUGCUUCAAUCUCCUUGGGAUAAUUCUGUUUAAACUCAACGUCUUCUGAUCUUACAACUUCUCCUUCAUAGUUGUUGACACUAGCUAACACCACUUAGAUACUAGGUUGUCAUCCCUAGCAUGGCGCCAGAGUCUACAAAGGUAUUUAUAAAUGUAAAGGCUCUCUAGAAAAUAAUCUAUUCUAUCCGCAAGCGCACAGAUAAAACACCUCAUUGUAGCAUUUCACCAGGAUAAGUAUUCCAGGUAUCGUUAUUUAUAAUUUUGCUUAGGGGAUCUUAAGAAGAUGGAAUUAAAUCAAAGGGGCAAAAUCUAUCAAGGCAUAGACUAGAGAUAAACUUGCAAGAACAUGAUUACUAAUAAGAAACUCGUCACACAGUCACAUACUCUAGCAGGGGGUAAACCAUAAAGAUAAUGAUAAUAAAGUAUAAGUUCAUGGGAUAAAGAGCACAGCGAUUAGAAAAUAGACUACUCCUCAUAUAUGUAGGUGAUGUCGGAUUAGCUAGAGAAUGGAUUCUAAGUUAUCUACUAACUACUAAGUCAUAAUCUACUCUAGUUAUCUACAAGAUCAUAUAUAGCAUAAAAGACUCUUCAUUCAUGUAUAAGGAACAUUGAUAAAGUAAAUCAGAACAUCGCAUGACUUACUCCACAAUACCGGUUCUGCCUGUCCUAUCAACGGAGGGUGGACUAUAUAAGAAUCAACGAAGCUGUCACUAUCGCGAACUACCACAUGACUCGGCACCACGAUAGGAUACAUUUGCAGAUAAAUAACAUCUAAGCACCACGCUCACAUGUGAUCUAUCACCUAACUCCCUCGCGUCAAGAGCUAAGCGCUUUGCAAACUUAUACAUAAACUCAUUAUCAAUUAGAACUAUAUCAAAUAUAGAACUAGAGCAAACUAAGAACAUAAUAAUUAGAGACAUAAUGCAAUUAGAACAAUAGAAUUAGAGAAAGAUAUGAAUAAUACCAAUCUUUAUUACCGAAGAUCCGAAUCCAGAGCGUAGUGCUCUACUUCUCUAAUUGCUAUCUAAUCAAACCUCUAAACUUGAAGGAUUAGGGAGUAGCUAAUUCUAAUUCUCUGUGGGAGAGAAGCUCUAAACCCUAACUUUGAUGGCUACCUCUGAAUAAUGAUUUCUCCUCCUCUCCUCCAGGGGCCAGGGGGUCUGGUUUUAUAGUCCCCUCAAGUGAACGUGAGCCAUUGGAUCAAACCGACAUAGAUUGUAUGGUUUAGAUUGAUCCUUUAGGUCGGUGGAGCGUAGUCCCGAAGCAGAGUCCUGAUUGGCCUCCUGGCCAGGGCGGGCGCCCAAGGGGGGUGGGCGGCCGCCCAGCUCCCGAGCCCGAUUCGCGUCCCGUUCGUUCCCGUGGCUUCUGGAUCCUUCUAGAUUGAGGAAAAUUGCGUGGCACGUAAUUAUCUCGUUGUAAACAUGACAUGCGGGCCUUCUCUCCAUAUUUUCUGAUAAACCCCUGCAGAAAUAGAUAAACACCAAAGCUCGUCGAAUUCUGUCAGAUAAAACCCUAAUUCUAGAUGUUUGUUUCAUAUUGAUCCUUUUUCAUGUUUAUUUGGUUAUUAAUUUUAGUACUUAAGGACCGUCAACAAACUCCCCCAAGCUUACCCUUUGCUCGUCCCUGAGCAAAUAGCUAAUCUCAGACGGAUCAGGAGUUGCUUCGAUGUUUUCUUUCCUGACAGGCACACAUGCUUUUAGAUAAAAAUUCUUCCAGAUUAGAGUGAAGUGUUAUGAAGUUUAGUACUUAAGUCUUAAGUAAUCGAAAGACAAAAUAGUUAAGUCAAGCACUAUCCCUCCUGUCUAUACUUCACCUUUGUUCUAGAGUUUUUCAUAAGUUUUCAAAAUAAAACCCAGAGUUCCUAGCAAUGAUUCUCUCAAGUCUCUCUAUAUUUGGUAUUUGUGGAUCCUUACCAUAAUGUCACUUACCUAUAGCUAAUGAAAUAUUUAAGUGGAGCUCAUAGGAGUGAAAAACAGCUCAUACAUAUGUUGUCUAAUCGAGCGUUGGAUCCAAAGGAACUCAGCAUAUAAUUAAAUCAAGAUGUGCAUGUGUGGUGGAGUAAAUGAUAGUGAUGGUGAAAAUGCAAUAGUGUUAAUAAAUCUUAGUUCUCAUUGCUCCUCAUAUUGCUAUAUCUCCUCCUCUUUGAUCUUUGCUUUGGGAGAACAUGGGCUAUCUCUUUUUUUUUCAGGUGGGUAAUAGAUACCCCUAAUUCUACUGUCGGACACUUGUCCAUUUUUUUCCGCUCAAGUGGGCAUCUUUGUACCCCUAAUUCUACUUCAGACACUUGUCCAUUUUUACCUCUCGUCUCACUCUUUUUCUUUCUUUUCCGAGGUUCCGGGCACUUGCCCCUUUUUAUUUCCUCGUAUGUUUUUGCAUAACCCAUGCCUCUUCUACAUUGAAUCUUUUUAGAGAGAGAAUAACAAUACUUGGGACAGUGAGUGAUAAUAUAUUUUUUUUAGCAAUUUUAAUGAUUAAUGUUGUGGUAGAUGCGUGCAAGUGAAUAUCUUAAUUUAACCACAUGAAAAGCUCCUAAGGGUCUACACAGCUCGAUCAAACUCAAUGUAAAUAUAGUAAAAGAUGUUAUAGCAAGUAUGGCUGUGGUAGGUAGUUUUGUAUGCUAGGAACUCAUCAUGUGAUUUGUAAGUUUUCAAAAAUAAAUCUCCAGAACUUAGUGUAGUAGGAACAAGAUAAACAGUAGCUCAACUUUAUAUCAUGUCUUUCUCUUACCUAGACUUUAGUUUUAUGCUUCCCAAAGAUAGUAAUUUUAAUUUUAGUAAUUCCCGGAAGAAUUCUAAUAUAAAAGCUAGGUACUUGUAAGUAAGCAAACAGAGCAACUGUUCAUCAUUUCCAUCAUGCAUAUUUUUGGUCUUUUUAUUUUUUCUAGAGAUUAAACUUAGCAGGAAAAUAAAGCACACUUAUCUACACACUAUUUUUAUUUUGUUUUCAUGUUUAUUAAAGUGCAGUGAAUAAAAGCAAGAAAAUAUUUAUUUGGUUUUCUAAGUUUUUCCUUUUAAGAUAAAUUAAAUACUAAGACAGAAUAGAAUAAAUAAGAAGAGCAAAUAAAAACUUACUUGAUAAAUUUGGGAGGAACUCCCCCAAGCUGGAUGUUGAUGUCGGUCUUACCCGAUGUUCCAGAACCGCACCAUGGUUGUGAUGUUAUCGUUCAUUGUUGUUGUAUCUUGUCUUAGCUCUUCUACUGCAGUGGCAUGGUCCUGGUUCCAUUUUUGUUGCUCUUCCAGGAGUCUUCCAUGUUCUGCUUGCGUGUUCUGGAUGUCGAGGAGGGUGUUGUCGGUACGAGUGAAGAAAGCACCGGCCUCUUGAUAGUAGUCAUUCGUGAAGGCGUAGGAGGCGUCGGAGUAUCGUCCUGCUUCAAAUUGGGGUGGAGGUCUGGAUCCUGAAGCUCCAUAUGGAUCAGUGGAAUACCUGCCCGUAUGAAAAGGCAGGUUUGUCCACUGGUGAUCUUGGCUCUCCGGCCAUGUCUCCUCUGUUGGCUCUUGUGGUUGCGCAUGACAAGCCCAUGGGUCUCGAAGGACUCGUGGAUUGUAAUCGCAAUAAUGCAGGUGCGCUGCUUCUUCUAGUCCAGGGUCAGCUCCAUACCAGGUGCGUUCUUGGUGAGUGGUUAUCCUUUCAGAUGCCACUCGCUGUGGAGUUCUCGGGUUCACUGGUGUUGCUGCAAUCUCAAUCAAAAAGUUUUGCACAGUGUAGAGGCAAAGGUUCGGGUUAGGUAACCGAAUCUUGCCUUUAUCAUCAUACAGCAUAUACAUUAUAUUCCCCUCUUUCUUUAACAUCUGAGCUUGUCUAAAUGUGUCAUAGCCAUGAUAAAUUCUUAAUUCUUCUAUGCAGUCCAACGAUGAGUUUUCUAGUAAGUGAAGAUUAGUGGCUAGACGAGUGAUAAGUGAAGUACAUCCUACUGGUCCCUGAAGACUAGGUAUACUAAGCCAAUGUGAAACUAAUAGUGUAACAGGUGAAGUAGGUACUUUACUAAUAGCAGCAUAUAAAAGUUGUAAAUCUCCUACUCUUACUUUCCUAAUAUCGUCACGAUAGAAAAUAUUGUACCCAAGCCAUUUGUGGAACAUCCUAAGAGUGGGGUGUUCCAUGUCACUGGUUCGGGCUUGACUGUAAAAAUUAUCUCUAGAUAUUUCUCUCCAACACUGGUGUCUCUCAAAGUUGGGUAAAUCGGAGUCAAUGUUUAGGAUGCAUCUUGAAGAGAAACCAAGAUGGUCGCUCAGUUCUCUCCAAGAUAACAUAAUUUCCUGUUUAAACAUCCGAAAAACAAUCCCCCCCUCAUAGUAUUGUAAGGUGCAAAGAAAUUCGAGGGUGAGAAGACGAGAACCCAGCUCAGUUAUAUUCCAAAAAUUUGUCCAACCCAUCAUCUGAAAAAUUAAGUCAAAUUCAGUGUCCAUACCUGUUUCUUGUAGUAGGGUUGGAUCGAGAGUAGGGGUGUGAAUGAAAUCUUUAUUCUUUAAUUGCUGAUAAACUUCCUUCUCUCUUCGGGUCUUCAGUCCUAGGUCUCCUAUCUUGAGAAGGACCUUGACUUGCUGGCCUGAUGAAGAUGAUGGAGCUUGUGUGGGUGUAGGAUCGACGCUCAUCUCUGAUGGCUGUGAGGAGUGUCGGGUUGAACUCCUUGUACCAAUGUUCUUGAGAGCCUUCCCUGCAUUCUUCACCUUCUUAAACAUCCUGCAAACAAAAGUUGGCAAAAACACAACUGGUGGAAAAUAUGAGAUAAAAUGUUAGUGGUCAGCUGUCCGGAGUGUCAGUAGUCCAGGGGUUAAUCGUUCAAGACAAGUUUCUAUUUUGGUAGAGCCUCCCCCUAAACAACUUUUACUUUCGCUUAGACAACGGGAUCACUACUUGCUAGGUGACAAUCACUCUCUCAAAAGAACUCCAACCUUCCCUUCCACUCUCCUCUUUCUCUCUACUCUCUUCUCUUCACUACAAGAACUCCUUCUCGGGAAACUAAGAUUUGCGUGGUUUUCUGAAGUGUUUGUGUGAAGAGAAGGGAGCUGAAGGUGGCCUUUUAUAGGCUGAGCAGGGGACAGGGCGGGCGCCCAAGGUAGGUGGGCGGGCGCCCACCCCUGGUGUCCAUCCUGGGUGUGCCUCCUCCACUUGCUUCCUUGCUUUGAUCUCACGCAGAAUAAUAUUGUGUUGGUAGUGGUUGGACGGUGGAAAGAUGUCAGGUGAGUGGAAACAUAUUGGUAGAUGAAAUUAUAUGAUGGGAUGUAUGUGAGGUGAAGUGUAUGACAUGUGGGACCCAAAGAGUGUGGGUCAUGCUUCUAGAAGAUCAAUAUAAUGCAGGAAAAUCUAUGAGAAUUGAAUCUUAAUGAAAAUGAUAUUAGAAAAUAUUUUUGUGCCUCCAUAAUAAUUAAUAAAUAUGGGUUGUUACACACCACGAAUAUUAUUUAUAUGGGGCUUUUUGAUUAUUAUAAUUAUGCUAUGAAUAUAUGUGACUAAUGCAAGAUUUAAUUAUGCAAGAAGUUAAAUAUGAGAAAAUUAAUAAUGUGGAUAAAUACCGAUUUACCUCCCGGUGAGGGUUUGGGAUUUUUAGGUCCCCCAAGCUGGACCUCCAAAUCUUUUAAUCUUCUGAGUUACCUUCCUCCGGAGAUGGUGUCUCCAGUGGUUCUUCGUGAACUUCCUUCACUGUAGAGUCUCUCUCUGGUCUGGGUUUGAAUGUGAAGUGUUCUUCUUGACCGUUUAUGUUGAACUUGAUUUCUCCUUUUCCGACAUCAAUGUGGGCAUUGGCAGUGCUCAGAAAUGGCCUUCCAAGGAUGAUGGACACUUUCGAGUCAGGACUCAUGUCCAGUACUACGAAGUCUACUGGCACAAGAAAAUCUCUGAUCUUGACUGGAAUGUUCUCGGCGAUGCCCAACGGGUGUCGAACCGAUUGAUUCGCUAGUUGUAGAUAUAUUGAUGUUGGUUCUAAAGUUGCAUGCUCAGGCUUUUUGUAGACUAAUGCUGGCAUCACACUAACACUUGCUCCGAGAUCACAAAGUGCAUUGUUGAAGUGUUGGUUUCCGAUCGAGCAAUCGAUAGUGGGACAUCCGGGAUCUUCCUUCUUCUUUGGUGGUUUGUUGAGGAUGGCCGCACUACAUUCUUCUGUCAGCUUGAUAACCUCAGUGGUGGGCAGUGGUCUCUUCUUGUUAAGAAUAUCUCUGAUGUACUUUGCAUAUGUAGGUACCUGUAUGGCAUCGAGCAGAGGUAUGUUGACAUAUAAUUUCUGAAUGACCUCUACAAACUUACCAAACUGCUCAUCCGACUACAGUCCUCUGUUUCUUCUGGGAAAUGGCAAAUAGUUGGUGUCGUAAAAAUCUUUCCUCAUUUCUCCAGUUCUUGGUGGUUGGAGCAGAUCUUCUGCUUCAAUUGGGCUUUCUUCUUCUAUCACUGCUGGUUGCACUGGUGCUGAUGAUCUUUGUUUCUCUUUUGGGUAUGGUGGAUCUCUGGUAGCUUUACCUCCUCUAGUAGUUAUAUUCUUUACCUGCUCAAGGUUAGUAGCAACAGGCAGUGCAGCAGCUAUCUUUAUUAAUUUAAGCUCUACCCUUUUAUUAAGAGUGUUUUGCUCAUCAAAGGCAGUUAGUAGAAAAUCCAUUUUAUUGUGUAUAUCUUUUAGAGAUGAUUCAUUUGUAUCUAGCCUUUGUUUAACUCCAUCAUUAAUUUUGGUUUGUUGAGCAAUUAUCUCUUUUAAUGAAAGUUGCUUGAUAGUAUUACCUAAAUUCAUACCUUUGCUAUUGGGUUGACUCGAAGUUGGUUGAUAUUUGUAUGUUGUCUCAAUAGCCCUUUGAUCUUCUUUGAACUUGGCCCUCUGGUCAAUCCAAUGGAGCAAAUUUUCCAUCUUAGUUGAUAAUGCAUUUACUUCUUCUGGUAUUUCUUCAGUUUGAUGACAAUGUUGAGCUUUAUCUUGGAACCAGCUUUGGUUUUCUGCUAUCUUAUCCAAAAGUAUCUCUGCUUUUCCAGUUGUAAGCUCCAAGAAUGAUCAUUUAGCAGAUGCAUCUAUGCACUCACGAGCCUUCUGGGUUAAUCCAUGGUAGAAGGUCUGCAUAAGUAACCAUGUGGCCAUUCCAUGGUGAGGACAAUCUGAUAUGUAUCCUUGAAAACGCUCCCAUGCUUCUGAAAUGGCUUCUGUCUUCUGCUGUUGGAAACUGACAAUAUUUCCUCUUAAGGCAGUUGUUUUGCCUAUAGGGAAAAACUUUGAUAGAAAGGCAUCUGACAAGUUCGUCCAGUUGUUGAUGUUAUCUUGAUGAGUGUAGAACCACUUCCUCGCUUUCCCUUCUAGUGAGAAUGGAAAAAGGCGAAGUAGUAUGACGUCUUUGUCAACUCCGUUGAUGUGGAUUGUGCUUCCAAUUUCUAAGAAAUUCUGCAAGUGUGCACUGGCAUCUUCAUGUGCCUUUCCACUGAAUUGUGUAGCUUGCACCAAAUUGAUGAGGCUUGACUUGAGCUCAAACUCGGGUAUUCCUUCUUCUACUGCAAAUCUUGGACCGGUUGGAAUGUUGUCAAGACUUGGAGCAGAGAAUUCUUGCAAGGUCUUUUCUGCCAUAGCUUCAGCAAUUGGUAGCUAGCUUCUUCUUUUCUUGAUUGCUUUGGUUCUGAUGAUGUAGAGUUGAAUGUACCCAAAGUCAAUCCUGUUAUACCCUGUAUAAAAAUAUAAACAUAGAAAAACAACAGGGUGAACCUGCCAAAGCAGCGGUGCCUUGUUAUGAUUUCUCACUUAGUAGCUGUUUUAUGCAAUUAUUUCUCUAGUCUAGUCUAAUAUUUUAUAUGAAUAACCUUGAUUGAUUUUCUGGCUUUCCUUAAUAUUACCCUUUUGUUCCCUUUUAUGACUUAUUCUUGAGACUCAUAUAAUUCCUAUAAGAUGUCCUAUAGAUCCUAUAAGUCCUAUAGCUCCCCGGCAACGACGCCAGAAAUGCUUGUUGACACUAGCUAACACCACUUAGAUACUUGGUUGUCAUCCCUAGCAUGGCGCCAGAGUGUACAAAGGUAUUUAUAAAUGUAAAGGCUCUCUAGAAAAUAAUCUAUUCUAUCCGCAAGCGCACAGAUAAAACACCUCAUUGUAGCAUUUCACCAGGAUAAGUAUUCCAGGUAUCGUUAUUUAUAAUUUUGCUUAGGGGAUCUUAAGAAGAUGGAAUU
rnacentral:lncRNA from 1 species